GGUGAACGCUGGCGGCGUGCUUAAGACAUGCAAGUCGAACGCAGUCUUCGGACUGAGUGGCGCACGGGUGGGUAACACGUAACUGACCUACCCCCAAGUCGCGAAUAACCAGCCGAAAGGAUGGCUAAUACGUGAUGUGAUGAUCCGCUGUGGCGGCUCAUUAAAGACUUGAUCGCUUGGGGAUGGGGUUGCGUUUCAUCAGCUAGUUGGUAAGGUAAAGGCUUACCAAGGAAACGACGGAUAGCCGGCCUGGGAGGGUGGCCGGCCACAGGGGCACUGAGACACGGGUCCCACUCCUACGGGAGGCAGCAGUUAGAAAUCUUCCACAAUGGGCGCAAGCCUGAUGGAGCGACGCCGCGUGAGGGAUGAAGGUUCUCGGAUCGUAAACCUCUGAACCAACGACGAAAGACCCGACAAGGGAGAUGACGGUAGUUGGGUAAUAGCACCGGCUAACUCCGUGCCAGCAGCCGCCGUAACAC
rnacentral:rRNA from 1 species